rnacentral:rRNA from 1 species
GAUGAACGCUGACAGAAUGCUUAACACAUGCAAGUCUUUGGCAAAUCUGUGCUUGCACAGCAUAGCCAAGGCGGACGGGUGAGUAACGCGUAAAGAACUUGCCCUGCAGUCUGGGAUAACAGACGGAAACGACUGAUAAAACCUGAUAUAAUCAAGCCCACGCAUGUGGUGCUUGAUGAAAAGAAAUGCUGCAGGAGAGCUUUGCGUCCUAUUAGCUUGUUGGUGGGGUAAUGGCCCACCAAGGCAAUGAUAGGUAGCCGGCCUGAGAGGGUGACCGGCCACAAGGGGACUGAGAUACGGCCCUUACUCCUACGGGAGGCAGCAGUGGGGAAUAUUGGACAAUGGGGGCAACCCUGAUCCAGCAAUUCUGUGUGCACGAAGAAGGUUUUCGGAUUGUAAAGUGCUUUCAGCAGGGAAGAAGAAAAUGACUGACCUGCAGAAGAGCGACG